AUCCGUGUAUCAUUCGUUCUUUCGUUUUUCAACUGCCAAUCAAAAACAAAAAAUUAAAAAGGAGACUAAUCCGUCUAUUCCAU